AAGAUUUCACUUUGACUUUCAUUUCACUUUUCUUUUCUUUCACUUUCAUUUCUAAUCCAAACAAAGCAUUAGCGAAGAAUGAGACUACAGAAGAAGAAGAAGAAGAAACAGGGUUUCUGCGCUGGAAAUAUCAUUCAGUUCCAUAACUACAUGCUUCAUGCUUGGUCUAUUGAUGGAAGUUGGUGCUACACAAGCCAUUGCAGUAUCCAAAGCUUUCGUUGCAGAGGAAAUAUCAAAUUCUCCUUGUAAUCUAGGAUCUACAAUAUCCUUUAUCUCUCUUUCCACCAGCGUGGAACCAACCCACUGAAUAAUAUGGAUUUUUUCUUCAGUUUUGGUUAUCGCAGGUUGCCCUGUAAUUAUCUCAAGCAAAACUACCCCGAAACUGAAAACAUCACUUUUUUCUCUCAGCUUGCUUAGUCUAUUGUACCUGCACAAUAUAUACUUUUAACUUAAAAUGAAGCUUAUAUUUAAAGAUAGAGAUGAUAAGAACUUACUCUGGAUCAAGGUAUCCUGGUGUGCCAGCAACAACCGUGAAGACAUGAGUGUCUCCUUCAUUAGGAAAGAUCUUUGACAACCCAAAAUCAGCUAAUUUACCCUGGAGUUUUUCAUUUAGUAAGAUGUUUUUGGAUUUAACAUCUCUGUGAACAAUUGGUGGAUUACAGCCAUGAUGCAGAUACUCCAAUCCUACAGUUGAGUGUUGAAAUUAAGUAAAGCUUUGUUUCAUAAGAUAGAUCCUUGAGCUGAUGAGGAAGAUAGCAUUUUGACAGCUACCUCAGUAUCAUCAUCAAUCCACCCAUGGUAGACUGUUCCAGAUGCUCCUUUCCCCACAACCUUUUCAAAGUUUUUGGUAAUGCUUAAUACUUCUUCAUAGGUGAAUUCUUGUUUCUUUGACUCUAGUUCCUGCUUUAUUCUUGAGUAAGCACCCACCUUGCUCAGCUGAUGGGAAGCUGGGACGAAGCAAACACAUUCAUUAUCAAAAUGGAAGAAAAAGUACAGUUUUUCGUUGCAGUAUUUACAUUUGAGUUUAAUUUUGAUACACAGUGAGCGUAGUCAAUAGAAUAAAAACAACAUGUACCUUGGUGUCUCUUGUAGUAUAUGCGAAAAGAAACCAUUGCUACCGCUAGUAUCACGACAGCUCCUCCGAGUGAUGCUACUAAUGGAACCACAACCUUAUUUCCAUUCCCCUUGUUGCAUGAACCUGAGGAGCAAAGAUUUGGAUUUCCACCAAAACUUGCAUUUACAGUAAGAAAUAAAUAAUGUUAUGUAUUUGACAUUUGUCUGACAAAAUACACUUUGUAAUAUAAAAAUGAUAUAAAUCAAUAGCUCGUUGUGGCAUGGAAAAUGAAUCAUAAAAGAAAAAGAGUAUUACUUAAAAGUAAAAAUUGAAGUGAAACAUACUUGAAUUUGAGCACACUAUUCUUAGGAUGCACAAGAAGUUCUUUUGGAAUUGCUCCUGAUAGCUUAUUUCCUUCCAGGUUUCUUCAAUAAAUAAAUCACUAAAAUUACGAUUUAUACACACGUUCUUACCAUGAUAUUUAAACAACUGAAUCAUUAAAGUUAAUUGAAAAAUCAAGUUCAUUUAGUUGAACCUAGCCUCAUUAAAGCUGUCACUACUCUAGAGAAUUUACCGAAGUGAAGACAGUUGACUUACAAAACUUUCAAAAAGCGCAGCUGAGAUAGGAAAUCAGGCACUGCCCCAGUCAAGCUGUUAUUUGACAAAUCCCUAAAAUUGGAACAAAAUGUUUUUACUCAACUUUAGGAACUGACUUCAUUUUUGUGAUAAUUUAUAUAGCUUGCUACUUGAAUAUCAUAGAUUGAAGGACUUACAAAUAUUCUAUUGACUUUAGAUUGGAUAUGCUUGGAGCUAUAGUUCCAAAUAAACCGCAAGAAGUUAAGUUCCUAAAAACAUGAUUAUGAAGUUCGUUAAUAUCAUUGAAGACUAGACUAUAAAGGUGAAGUUAUGUAUUUCAUUUCAUGCUUCUUAACUUACAAGUAUAUGAUCUUUGGUGAAUUAGAUCCAACAUAGCUGCAGUUUAGACCAUCCCACAAAUAUGACAUAGGAGUACAAGGAUCUCCCUGCCAGUUUCUCUUGAUCCCAUAAAUUGACUUCACAUUUUGGAUAGCAUCAACUAUUAUAUAUUCAUAAAUUAAACCAUGUCAAGAAAAAAUUGAACAUAUUCCUAUGAAUAAUAAUAAGAUUAUAAACAUAACGCAUGUAAAUAAUGAUGUGCAGGAUCUUGAAAAUCAGUGUAUCUAACUAUGUUACAUACCGUCUGUUUGAUAUGUUUCUGAUUGUAACAAGUCCUUUGUCAUGUAUAUCUCGAUCGCACUAAAGAGUGGUGGGAGAGUUGAUUUACUAGUCUUAUUAAGCCAAAGUUCCAACUUAUUUUCACUUAUAACUGAUACAUAAUACAGGCUCUGCAGGUACAAAGGGUUGACUGUAUUUAAAAGCUUCCCAUUUACAAAAAUGUUGAACUCUCUAAUUUGAUUUGGCUCGAGUUUCUGGAUUUCAGCAAAGUACAAAUACAUGUAAUAUCUGGAGGCAUUAUACUUGGGAAGGAAGUAAAACUUUAUAUUGUCACUGUCUUUUUCUGGAAUUGAUGUUGUUUGCAUGACAGCGGAGGGUGGUAGCGGUAAGAAAUUGAAUGAAGGUGCUCCUUGGUCUAUGAUGAGUGAAGUAUCUGUCUUUUUCCAGUCUUUUGAGUUAUAUGGUGUCCAUAUUCUGUCAUAAAUAUCAUCUGGAUACCUUUGAAAAAGGAAAUAGUGUUACGCAUUAGCGAGCAUUAUAUUAACAAUAGUAGUAUAGAAAAAAUCGUGCAUCAUUUUGACACGACUUAAAUACGGUUUUAGUCCAUAAGUAAGAUGACUCACCUGAUAUUUGUACCACCCUGUGAGCCUACAUCAAACCUUGCCAAAAGUUCCAAAGAGUUAACAAGAUAAGCAUCACUGUUAAGAACUCUAACCUCUAAAACUGAAAUAAAAGGUGUGCCCUUUCCAAUAUUGAACAAACAAACAUGAACAUAAUCUGAGGAAGCGGCAUAAAUUAUUUCCUUAGUUAUUAAACUCGAUGAAUCCUCAAACACCACAGAUUCCCACUGUUUGGCUCCAAGGUAAAUAUCAAAUUCAGGAAGAGAGUCUUUUCCAUCAUAAUUACCAUACACAAAACUGGCCCUGACUAAGUAUUUUUUGCUACUUCCUUGGGAAACAUAAAGGGUGUAGCAAUUCCUUGUUCCUUUUGGGAAACUUCUUACAUUCCAGAGCUGUCUUUCAAGGGAAGGCUUGUGUUUAGACGAUAUGCUGCGGCUUACACCAGUAUCUGUGAAAUUAACAUCCCAAGUGUAAUAGAUGGAAGUAGUUUCAUCUGUGUAGCUUGGUUCAUCCACUAGUCCACAGUCAAUACUAAUGAAUCCUACAAAAGGGUAAAACAAAGUUCUAAGAACAUGAAACGUAAUUAUCAGUAUCUCACGAUACAUGCAAGUCAUAUCUCGAUUUCAUACUAAUGUUAUGAGAUGAAACUGCCAAACCUGAUUGGUUGUUCUGAGCACGAACAACGAAAGGAAAAAUCAAAGAAAGUAGAAAUACUAAAAGUAGCAAGUACCCUGCCAUAUGUGAACUUGAAAACUUGUUACACACUUAAUCUGAUAUAAGAUGUUAUUACUACAAUAAAAGUAUUAGAUGAUUUUAUUCAUUUUAAUCUUCAUAUAGUUUCUGUUCUUAGUCAAAUUCUUCUGCAUAUUAAAUUCUCUCACCAUUUAUUUAUUUUUACUAUCAGAAGCUUCCCAAUUGAGCUAUCUGUAUUGUGUUUGUACUUUUCUUUGCCAUAUUUUAUUACUGGACAUGCAAACACGAUUUGAUAUUUGUCAAUGACUAAUUUUUGCAGUAUUUGGUGGACAAAAAAGGUUACAAAUAUUCAUAUAACAUGCAUAUCAAUUCUUAAUUUUUAAUUUCUCACUUUUUGGUUGCUAUCUGCUUGUCAAAAUUGAUAAACCAAAGUAAAGACAGCAGGGUACAUGACCAAAAUUUUGAAAAUGUUGGCAUUAGGCCUAUUUUUAAUCACUAUACUUAUCAAGGAAGCUUGUUGAUGUUGAUUAAGUCAGAAGUAUUUUCAAUAUGUUAAAUUAAAAAUCAAUUUUGUUUAAAACCAACUUAUUCAACUUUGGACCAGCAUAUGACAAUUGGCAACUCCAAAUAAGUCGUCUAUUAACUAUGCAUUCAAUCAGAUUUGUUGAAAAGAGUGUUCUUAUUAAUUUUUUUGUAUAUAUAUAUAUAUAUAUAUAUAUAUAUUUAUUUGGAAUUCAACCAUCAACUAUUCAAACCUUACGGCAACUAAAAUAACUACAAUUAUCUAAUUUUAUAUCCACUAGUCCUUAGUCUUUGCCAAACUAACAUUUAUUUAUAUUAUAUAUAUAUAUAUAUAUAUAUAUAUAUAUAUAUAUAUAUAUAUAUAUAUAUAUAUAUAUAUAUAUAUACAUAUUCACUGCAUUCUUAUCUGCAUUCAUAUCUGAUCAUUCCAAUAACAAGAACCUAUCUCACAUUCAUAUUUCUCUCUUGUAUUGUUUGUAGCAAUGGCAACCAAUUCUCUGAAGUUUACUUUGUUGACAAUUUUCAUCUUUGCCAUGGCUCUUUCUCCAACUUUACCAUGUGAUGCUGCACGCGAUUUUGUAGCAGUUAAUAAGGUGAUAUGUAUUCAGUGUGUGUGUUGCACUCCACCACCACCAGGAACUUGCUGCAAGAAGUGCUGUGCUUCUUCUUCUCCACCUCAAACUGAGACAAUUGGGCAAUCGCCAUAGUAAAGAAAUCACAUGCCUUACUAUAAUAUUUGUGUAAGAAUCAUUCUCAUAGUCAUAAUGUUACUAUAAUUAUCAAGGACUGGAUUUCAUAUAAGAAAUUAGAUCUUUAAAGUUAUAAAUUGGUUUGUGACUUACAAAUUAAAAAUUAAAUACCGCAGAAUGUGCUGUACAAAUUAAAAACCGAAAACAAAAUUAAAAUAAGAUAAUAAGAAGAAUACUUAGAUACAAUUAUUUAGGUGUGAUUUGAAUUAUUUUUCAAUGAUAAUAUGAUAAGUGUAUAAUUUCUUCUUACACAUAUAUAAUUUUCUUCUAUUUUCACUCCUUAAAUGAUGUUAAAAUACACUUGCCAUAUUUUCAUUGACAAAUAGUAUAAACUACACUUUAGGAAUUGUAGGUAAGUUUUUUCAAUUAAUAAACACUAAAAUUUUGCAACCCCUGCCAAAUGGAUGUAAAAUGAAAAUAAUAAAAAAAAAAGGAAUAAUUCUGCUUGCGUACGGUGACACUUUAGACAACAUCAUACCAACUUUAGACAACGCCAUAUCAAUUUUUACCUAAAGUCAUUCUACCUUUCACACAAAAAAGAUAGAGAAUCUUUAGGUAGAAAAUCUUUACCGAUGUUUCAACCAUUCUCCUUAUGUCUUUUCUAAUUGUGAUUUAAUAUUUGCAAAUUAUUUCAAUGUGAUAAAAAAUACAAAAUCCAUUUUAUUUUCUAAUAUUAACAUAACUUAAUUCGUAAAACUUUUUUUUUUCAUAUUUUUUAACUUCAUGUAAAAAUGAAAAUAAGAUCUUUAGAAUAUGUUUGGAUUGAUGGAACAAAAUGGAAUGAGAUGCAAUGAAAUGGAAUGAGAUAAAAUAGAAUGGUAUAAACUUAAGUUUCAUUGUUUGGAUUGAUGGAACAAAAUGGAAUGAGAUGCAAUGAAAUGGAAUGAGAUAAAAUAGAAUGGUAUAAACUUAAGUUUCAUUGUUUGGAUUAAAUAAAAAAGGAUGGAAUGGAGCGGAACCGAAUGAAAAACAUUCCAUCUCAUUCCAUCACUUUUCAUCAUUUUUUACCCUCUGAUUUAGACGGAGUGACAAAACCUAUUUAUUCCGUCAUGAGAUACUCAAAUGGAAUGACAUCUUUAUUCUAUUAUGUUCUGCUCCGUUUUAUUCCGCUCAGUUCGUUUUACAACAUUCAUAGUCUUAGUUUAAGAAUAUAAAGGGGAGAAAGAAGAGUUGCAAGAUGGAGAAAAGUGGGAGAAUGAGAGUUGCACGAGUUCAAGAUGAAUAGUCAACAACAAAUUCACAAAACCACAACUGAAAAUAGGGAGGGUGAGAGUUCCAAAUGAUUCACUUAAAAUGAAAAUAGGAUCUUUAAUUUAAGAAUAUGAAGGAAAAUAAAAGAGAAGUUGCAAGAUGAAGAAAAGUGGAAGAAUGAGACUUGUAGGAUUUAAAGAUGAAUAGUCAACAACCACAAAUCACAAAUGAAAAUAGGGAGAACGAGAGUUGCACGUGACUCACUUAAAGAUCUAUUGCAUGAAUGAUGAGAGUACAACACAAUAAAUGAAUUUGGAGAUUGUUCUUUCUACUCUUAGAAGUGAAGAACCACUCGUAGGAAACUCGAAAAUGCCCUUGGAAAAAAUACAUAACUUAACACUUCGUACACUCCUUACACACACCAAAACACUUCGUAAGUGAGCCAUCGUCCCCAUUUUGCCAAAAAAUAAUUCAUAUGUUAACUUCCGUAUUGAUUAAAGGGUGAGUCCGUAGGUUAAGUUCUAGACUAACUCUUGGACACAUUUUUAACCCAUAGUGUGUGUUUAUUAGGUCAACUCAAUGGAUAUUAUGGAAGUUAAUUUCAUUAUUAACCCUCAAGAUAACAAAUUUUUUUCUUAGGUAGAAUUUUUGUUUAAAAAAUUGACAUAUUUUAAUAAACCUUAUAUAAUUCAAUCAAACUAUACAUUGAUCACCAAAUACAAUCAAAAUGCUAUAUAUAAUUCGGUCAAACCAUACAUUUAUGUAAGUAAAUCAAACUACCAUAUAUUCAGUUAAAAUGCAAACCAUACAUUAUUCACAAAAUACAAAUAAAAAUAAAAAUGAUCAAAAUACAAAGAAAAGUUAACUAUUGUGUAUAUUUGAUUCUCUAGUUCCUCUGUUGCCUCUUGUACUAUAAGACAUUACAUGUCUCGUCUAUCACGGCCUCUACAAUGGCCUUCCUAGGAGUGCUUUCUGAAACUCUUCUCUCUCUGUCUGUCUAUACGCGCUAGCUCAACAGCUACAAUACACCGACAUGCAUGCAAUACAUGAUUUUCCCUAGCUUGCUCUUCCUCUAAUAUCUCUUAAUGAGCUGCUUAGGUGGCUCUCCCUUUUUAUUCGGUGUCAUAUAAGGAUGUAACACUCUAAAAAACCAUUGGAUGUAGCCAAAUGCAGAACUCCAUGAACAUUGAGCUAAUAAACUUCGUACAUCCUCUAAGACUAGAUGAUGAAGGUACUCCGCAAAUAUCUCGUCAACAUCUUUGCGGUAAAAUGUGGGAGAAGCAUCAUCGUUGAGGGCUCUAUAAAUUCCCUAUAGAAUCGAAGUGGCAUGUGACUCGCUCAAGUAGAUGCAUAUACAUCAGAUGUAACCCACAAGUCAACCAUAUGAAGUAGAAUGAUGUCUCAUUGAAGGAGCGUGUCUCUCGGUGAUCGUUACACGGUGUGAAGUUUAUAUCCUUUGUCACAAUGCAAUUAAGAUAAACUCUAAACAACUUGGUCACUUGAUUGCCCCUGGGUGGGAUGAAGGAGAAAGCGCAUUGGAAAGCCUCGUCGUAUGCACUCAUAUAUGCAGGGUCGGUCCUGGGUUUCUAGAGACCCGGGACAAAUAAUAAAAUGGACCCUAACAAAAAAUUGAACAAUUAAUCAAAUGAGAAUCGUCUCAUACAAUUAUUUUUCAUUAUUUUUUGUGUAAAAUUUAUUUAUUUAUCGAGCUUUUAUCAUAUUAUUGGAUAAUCAUAUAUGUCUGUUCACACAGAUAAAAAAAUUUAAGUGUAUUAAAAAUGUACAAAUAUUUUUAAUAUCAAAUAUAUUAAUACAUAUUUUUUUAAGUAUAUAACUCUGUAAAAGAAAACUUAAAAUUUGCUAUAAUUAUAUAGUAGUAUAAAUAAAAUUGAAAAUAAAAAAAAUUUAAUAUUAAUUUAAGAGCUGUGAAAUGGUGGAUACUGUAGGUAUCAUUUAUUUCUAUAGUUUUUUAAUGAAUUGAUGGUUUGAAAUAAUUAAUUCAAAAAAGUGUCACAAGGAUUCGAACACACUACCCACUAACUUUUGGUAUCUGGAUUAAUUCAUUUCCGUUAAUACAUUUCCUCUAGGCAACUUUAAAUUAUUAUUAAAAUAGUCUGAACAAUAAAUAUAUACAGCUUUAAUACAAUUUAUAUUUUUGAACACCCAAUCUAUAAUUUGAGGCCCCUAAAUUUGUGAGGCUCUGGGCUGUGGGCCUGCUUGCCCUGACCCAGGGCCGACCUUGCAUGUAUGCCCAGCCAGAGAGGCGUGGAAAGUAUUGGAGGAUCCAUGCCUAAAAAUGGUAUAUAUGAAAUAUUAGUAACAGCGAAGCACGGUCUUAUGAAAUAUUAGUAACAGUAAAUAUGCAAAUAUAUUAUCGUAAAUAGGGUGUUACUUGUUGUCAUAUGUCUAGUUUUCCAUAAACAAGCUUCAUUUAACUUGGAGUACGGGUAAACCUAACAAGAGGCCCCUCGAUUGUACUCAUUAAUGCUCUCCAAGUCAAUGAAGUAUCUCAAAUAGAGGACAUCAACAUAAUAUGAAAUUUUGUACACAUAUAUGGAUGUGCAACCCAGAUAUAAGAGCUAUGACUUCAUUUCACAUAUUCUAUGAUGUGCUACCUAUGCAUCAUCACCUCAAUUGUCGCAUCCAGGUGGUAUCUAUACGUCCUCUCCAUAAAUCCAACUCUAGCAUGACAUCCUCUGGUGUCAUCCAUCUCUUGUUGGACAUCACUAAAUCCAGCUUCCAAAUAUUGCACCAUCAUAUCUAGUGAGUCUGAAGUAGUUUAAAAAUAUACCCCUGAUCGAAAGAUGUAGAAGGGAUGGCACAUCAUCAAGUGUGAUGGACUUGUCACUGAUCAAAAGAUGGAAUGAACAAGUUUCUGAGUGCCAUCUCUCGAUAAAAAUAUAUAG